GAUGUUUGGAGUAAAUGCAUAGAUAGUGUUUGUUGUAAAUGAAAUGGAAUUGCAUCAAGUGAAGUAGAAUAAUUUCUCCA